CUCCAUAGCUUGCCCUUUGGAUGGCUGCCCAUGAUGAUGGACCGCAAUUAAGCAUCCUUCUUGUGACCAGCUGUUGGCAACCUCGGCUGAGCAUUCUGUAUGUGACCAACUAGUGAUCUUUGUGUUACGGAAUAGGAUUCCCUUUACUCGUUAGAGGAACAUCCCUUUUGAGCAUCCACGAUGUGACCAGCUAGCAUUCAUAGCUGAGCAUCCUGUUGCGUUCCUUCCGAAUGCAAUAUAUGGUUAGUAUAAUGGCAUAAGUAAGGGUGUCAAACCACAGAGAGUGAUUAGACGUCUAUAAAUUACUAGACUUGAUAGAACCCCAACUAAACAAUGAAAAUAACAAAUUAAAUGUAGGUUUUGUUCUGUUAAUGAUAAUAACUAAAAAUGCAAGAAAAAUGUAACAACGAAUGAUAUGUUGAUUGAGAAACGAUGAGGAUGGGUCCAUGGAUUUCGAGUUACCCAUUACAAAACCAACUCCAUGUUUAUAAAAUUAAACCGUAUUCAAUUACCAACCUGUUUCCAGAGUUCGUUUUACAUAUAUAUGAUCAGCCAUAUGAUGUGUGGUUUUGAUCAAAUUCUCCUAAUCUACAACCUAAUUGGGAUGUUCAACUUCGGCUCCAAAUUAAGAGUCUUUAGAAUGCAAGAAAACGUUACCAAAGAAAAUACAUGGUAGGAUGUUUGCAUAGCAUUCUCUUCAUUCAUUCACAUGUCUACCUAGAUUAAGCUUGAUGUUUACUAUAAUCUUUAUCAAAAGAUCUGUAAGAAAUCUUAAUGGUGAUCAAUCAUUAAAAUUUACAAACAAAUUUAACAAAAGAUUUUGUGAAUGAAACAAGAGACAGAUUGAUGAAUUGAAUAUUUUAACAUAAAAACAAGGCUACAUCGAAAUCCCUAGCUAUGAAUUUAGUUACACAUCAUGUUCAUAGAGAUGAAAUUCGAAAUACACAACAUGAGUGAAAAUAAAUCAAAGAGAGAGGAAACUCUUGAAGCAAUUAUGAUGUGGAACUUCUCUAAGAACAGCCUGUCGGGAUGAGUCUUCGAUGAUGUUGGACUGUAUAGAAUGGGUGGGGUUUUGAGUGAGGAUGAAAUGAGAGAAAAAAUAGUUACUAGAGUUGUGAAAUUCGCUUAGAGUGAAAGGUGUAUAUGAAAAUGGCUGAAAGGCUAGGUUUUAUAAUGUUAAAGAGCUGUUACAAAUUGCCAAUACAUCCUAGUAAUUGGGCAUUUACUUCCCACAUUUUUUUGCUGUUAUUGGUCUUAUAAAGAGCCAUAUUCAUCACCAUAUUCAGUUUCCACUUUUAAUUCUUUGUCAACAUCAGCAUCCUUAUUCAAUUCUCCACAUUGAUAGGAGCAUAUUUAUGCUACUUAGUUAGCUUGUUUUCUUGCACUUUUAUAGUUAGUUCAUGGUUAUUAUAGUGUUUUAAGCUAUUUUCUUGUGUUUAUAGGUCCAAAUGACAAAGUUGGCAAGAAAGUGCAUUUUGGAGCAUUUUGGAGCAGUUUUGGGCACUAAAUGGAUAGCACAUGUAUGGGCCAAGAUGGAUGGACAAAUUUUGAGUUCAAAAGGCUAGGAAUCUGAUAAGGAGAUGAAGAAAUUAAAUUCAAGACAAAGAUAAGGAAUAAGCUCAAAAGAGGAAACAUUAUCCACAACCUUAUCCAACCUUAUCUUAUCCAAACCAACCUUAUUUUAUCCUAUCCUAAUCUUAUCCUGUCUUAAUCCUAGCUGCAAGGGGACCUAAAUUUAUAUUUCUAGAACUUAUUUAUAGAAGAAUUCCCUUCUAGAAGUCCCAAAUCAGCCAAAAAACACAUUGUUUCUAGAAACCCUACAAAAGUGGCGCUUAUUUCCCUUCUAGAAGGCUUUUGCCUUGCCUUGCAAGCUAUUCUGUUUUUCAUCCAAUGUGUGCCGCACCCCUCUAUCCCUUUUCCUUUGUGGAUUCUGAUCUAUUAGGCCUUAUUCCUUAUGGAUUUGGGUUAUACAAAUCCUUUUCUGAAAUUAAUUGGGCUAAACCUUUUCCUUAGUGGAUUUAAAUCCUUGUGCCAAACCCUAGGGCCCUAAUUCUCCUAGUGUACUGAUUUCUAACCCUAAUCUGAUUUACCCUAGGGUUUUGUUGAGCCUAUAUAUACAUAUUUUCAGUACAAAUUCGUCACCACCCUUCAUACCACUCAGAAACACCUUUGCUGCAACCCUAACCACCAUUCUACAUCUCAAAACAUCAUUCUACAUCAAGAUACAUUUGUGCCGCACCUUUUGGAGAAAAAGGAGAGCCUUGCCGUGCAUUCCAUUGAUGAAGGAGGGCCUUGUGCACAAGCCAUCCGCAUCCUUGGGAGUUUUAAGAGUUCUUUCUUCCUUCGUUUCAUGUUUCGAUGUUUAUUUCAAUUUACUUUUCAACUGCUAUGAACAUGUGUAGCUAAAUUCUUAUUAGUUAGUGGUGAAUUCGAAACCAUGGACAUAUGUUUAAUAUGAAUUGAGUCUUUUCAGUUAUUAUUUCAUAAAACAUGAAUGCAAUUUACUUAUCUAUUUGAUUGAUAACUUAUUCUUGUAUGUUGAUUAAGGAGGCCUACUUAGUUUGCAUGCUUGAAUCUGAUGCUAAAUUAUAUGGGACUUUCACCUAAUCGUUAGGAACUUAUAAUUACAAGUAGUGAAGAUUGUUAGUCACAAUCGUAUUAAGUAGAUUAUUGGCAAGAGUAUCAUGCAGUUCAUAGUUAUAAUUGCCUUGUCAAUGCUUAUGAUUUCCAUAGAAUUUAAUGAUCUUUGAAUGUAUCUCUAUCAUACUAUUCAUAUAGGGAACUUGAGAAGAAUGAUUUGGGUUGUUGCAUGCAUUCAUCCAAUUCAAUGAAUUUAGGGAAAUCUGAGAGUUAAUUUGUGCAUUCAUGAUUAAUUUGGGGCAUUCUCAUUCAUGGUUUAAAUCUGAGAGUUAAUUUGUGCAUUCACGAUUAAUUUGGGGCAUUCUCAUUCAUGGUUUAAAGAAACAAUACUAGAAAUCAAUUUAUGUUGCAUAUGUUCAUGUGUAGAGAAGGAUCCUCUAACUAGCUUUUCACCCUUGAAUUCAUCUCAAUUUUGUUUUAGUUUACUUUGUUUUGCAAUUUGUUUAGUUUUAAUUCAAUUUCGUCAGAAACCAAACCCCCUUUUCUGUCUUGUGUUAUUUGGUCAGAAUCUGUCCUAAUUAGGUUCUUUAGAGUGUUUUGAGUCAAUAUAGGUUAUAAUUAGUCCAUAAACAUUGUUUGGGUCUUAGUUUAGUCUUAAAUUCGUCCAAUUUAAUCCCUAGAAUCUAUUAUGAGUCUAAUUGUUAGUAUUGUGCUAUUUUGAGUCUUUUAAGUGUAUUAUGAGUUAGUUAAGUUACAAUCUAUUUUCUUUUAAUCUUUUGAGUCAAAGUAAGUUUUAAUUUCGUUCAAAUCACUUGUUAGGUAUAGAAUUGAGUCUUUUUAACUUAGUUUUGCAGAUUUGAGUGGCUUAGGUCAGUUUAGAGUCUAUUCUUAUGUUUUUAAGUUUAGUUUAGUGUUUUAGAGUUUAAUUUGAGUAGAUUAGCAGCCCUAGUUAAUCCCCAGUUUAGAACAAUCCUUACUUAUAUCUUUUGCUACAAUUGUCAUCAAUAAGGUUUAAUUUGUGUGUCAAGUAAUUUUCACAUCACACAUUUAGCACCAUUUUGCCUUAUUUGUCCUCAACUGAGCUCCAAAAUACGAUAAGCUGCACACUAACACAAAAAAGGGUAAAAUGCAACAAGUUUAACUAAAAAAUAUCACAAAGGAACUAGGAAUGGAUGAUAUAAAUGUAUGAAAUUUAUGAGUUAUCAAAUACCCCCAAACCUGGUUUUUGCUGGUCCUCGAGCAAUACUAAAAUUGAAAACGAACAAAACAAAGAAAAAUCUAACUAGACCACUUUCGGUAGCUAACCGAUUGCAUUGAGCAUGUGCAACAAGCCUUUAAACCUCUAGGUGUCCCUAGUCGGAGGAGUGGUGUCUCCUGAGGGUUUACAGCGGUGACGCCCACAAACAUCUACAGACUUGACAAAUAAAUUAGUUAAGACUCACUUGAAACAAACUAAUAAGAACAAAUGAAUGCUUAGUCAUACCAUAAAACAAAACACUGUGACUUCAAAGAAUCAUAUCAUGUGUGUAGUGUAAAAGUAUUGCUCCAUGAAUCAUGACUUCAAAAGCGCCAUACUCAAAGAUGGAAGAUAGAAUUCGCCUUAACUUUAAUUCUCACAGAUUGUCACUCAAAUUUUCACUUAGAUCCUAAGGUUUUGUCUCUCAUCCAACAUAUAUGAGUGAAGUUAUGUAAAAGGGAAUCAAAAUUCUGACAUAUGAAAUAUGAAAUAAAAGCACAAUUUCUGAAUAUUUCUCAUGAAAGGAAUCAAACACUAAGAAUAUGGAUAGUACACAUACUUACCAUCACCCAUGAAUAUAUCCCCAAAGAUUAGCUAGGUCUUUCACAAGGUUGUAAUGUAAGGCUUAGGCUAGGGGCUACGAAAUAAUGGAUAGGAAAUACUAGAGCCUGGGACAUACCAAAGUGUCUUUGUUGUGAAACCAGUAAGCACUCCUCUUGAAUUGAUCUUCGUUGUUUGUUCUUGGCGUCUAGGACACACGUGCGAUAGUGAAGGAUUUGGAAAUUGCAUUUUCUUUAUUCAUUUUUUUCUUUUCUUUUUUUUUUCAAACUUUUUUUUGAAGGAAAAUUUUGUGAAAACAUGUUCAUUUAAGCAACAUCAAUAUAGCAUGCAAUUAACAAUUAAAGGCGGAAUCAUGCUA
rnacentral:lncRNA from 1 species